UACGUAGGGGGCAAGCGUUGUCCGGAUUUACUGGGCGUAAAGAGCGUGUAGGCGGCCAAGCAGGUCCGUUGUGAAAACUGGAGGCUUAACCUCCAGACGUCGACGGAAACCGCGUGGCUAGAGUCCGGAAGAGGAGAGUGGAAUUCCUGGUGUAGCGGUGAAACGCGCAGAUAUCAGGAAGAACACCAAUGGCGAAGGCAGCUCUCUGGGACGGUACUGACGCUGAGACGCGAAAGCGUGGGGAGCGAACAGG
rnacentral:rRNA from 1 species